rnacentral:rRNA from 1 species
UACGAAGGGGGCAAACGUUGCUCGGAAUUAUUGGGCGUAAAGCGCACGUAGGCGGCUUAGCAAGUUGGAGGUGAAAUCCCUCGGCUUAACCGGGGAACUGCAUCUGAUACUGGAUGGCUUGAGUUCGGGAGAGGGAUGCGGAAUUCCAGGUGUAGCGGUGAAAUGCGUAGAUAUCUGGAGGAACACCGGUGGCGAAGGCGGCAUCCUGGACCGGCACUGACGCUGAGGAGCGAAAGCCAGGGGAGCAAACGGG